GGUAUCGCCAAGUGGUAAGGCACAGGACUUUGACUCCUGUAUUCGUAGGUUCGAAUCCUGCUACCGCC
rnacentral:tRNA from 1 species